rnacentral:rRNA from 1 species
CUAGCCGUAAACGAUGUAGACUUGGUGUAGGUGGUGUAAAAACCAUCUGUGCCGUAGCUAACGCGAUAAGUCUACCGCCUGGGGACUACGGCCGCAAGGUUAAAACUCAAAGGAAUUGACGGGGGCCCGCACAAGCAGCGGAGCGUGUGGUUUAAUUCGAUGCUACACGAAGAACCUUACCUGGGUUUGACAUGCAAGUAGUAGGGAACUGAAAGGGGACCGACCCUUCGGGGAGCUUGCACAGGUGC